rnacentral:rRNA from 1 species
AACGAACGCUGGCGGCAGGCCUAACACAUGCAAGUCGAGCGAAGCCUUCGGGCUUAGCGGCGGACGGGUGAGUAACGCGUGGGAACGUGCCCUUUGGUACGGAAUAGCCCCGGGAAACUGGGAGUAAUACCGUAUGUGGUCGAGAGACGAAAGAUUUAUCGCCAAAGGAUCGGCCCGCGUUGUAUUAGGUAGUUGGUGGGGUAAUGGCCUACCAAGCCGACGAUCAAUAGCUGGUUUGAGAGGAUGAUCAGCCACACUGGGACUGAGGCACGGCCCAGACUCCUACGGGAGGCAGCAGUGGGGAAUCUUGGACAAUGGGGGAAACCCUGAUCUAGCCAUGCCGCGUGAUCGAUGAAGGCCUUAGGGUUGCAAAGAUCUUGCAGUGGGGAAGAUAAUGACGGUACCCACAGAAGAAGCCCCGGCUAACUCCGUGCCAGCCGCCGCCGUAACAC